rnacentral:rRNA from 1 species
UACGUAGGGGGCGAGCGUUGUCCGGAUUCAUUGGGCGUAAAGCGCGGGCAGGCGGCCCGCUCAGUCGGCCGUGAAAGCGCCGGGCUCAACUCGGCGAGGUCGGGCGAUACUGGCGGGCUCGAGGCUGGUAGAGGGCGGUGGAAUUCCGGGUGUUGUGGUGAAAUGCGUAGAGAUCCGGAGGAACACCAGUGGCGAAGGCGACACGCUGGGCCGUACCUGACGCUAAAACGCGACAUCAUGGGGAGCGAACGGG